ACCGUGGGGGGGUGCUAUAAUGCAGUCGAGCGGACAGAAGGGAGCUUGCUCCCGGAUGUUAGCGGCGGACGGGUGAGUAACACGUGGGUAACCUGCCUGUAAGACUGGGAUAACUCCGGGAAACCGGAGCUAAUACCGGAUAGUUCCUUGAACCGCAUGGUUCAAGGAUGAAAGACGGUUUCGGCUGUCACUUACAGAUGGACCCGCGGCGCAUUAGCUAGUUGGUGAGGUAACGGCUCACCAAGGCGACGAUGCGUAGCCGACCUGAGAGGGUGAUCGGCCACACUGGGACUGAGACACGGCCCAGACUCCUACGGGAGGCAGCAGUAGGGAAUCUUCCGCAAUGGACGAAAGUCUGACGGAGCAACGCCGCGUGAGUGAUGAAGGUUUUCGGAUCGUAAAGCUCUGUUGUUAGGGAAGAACAAGUGCAAGAGUAACUGCUUGCACCUUGACGGUACCUAACCAGAAAGCCACGGCUAACUACGUGCCAGCAGCCGCGGUAAUACGUAGGUGGCAAGCGUUGUCCGGAAUUAUUGGGCGUAAAGGGCUCGCAGGCGGUUUCUUAAGUCUGAUGUGAAAGCCCCCGGCUCAACCGGGGAGGGUCAUUGGAAACUGGGAAACUUGAGUGCAGAAGAGGAGAGUGGAAUUCCACGUGUAGCGGUGAAAUGCGUAGAGAUGUGGAGGAACACCAGUGGCGAAGGCGACUCUCUGGUCUGUAACUGACGCUGAGGAGCGAAAGCGUGGGGAGCGAACAGGAUUAGAUACCCUGGUAGUCCACGCCGUAAACGAUGAGUGCUAAGUGUUAGGGGGUUUCCGCCCCUUAGUGCUGCAGCUAACGCAUUAAGCACUCCGCCUGGGGAGUACGGUCGCAAGACUGAAACUCAAAGGAAUUGACGGGGGCCCGCACAAGCGGUGGAGCAUGUGGUUUAAUUCGAAGCAACGCGAAGUACCUUACCAGGUCUUUGACAUCCUCUGACAACCCUAGAGAUAGUGUCUUUUUCCUUUCGGGACCAGAGUGAACAGGUUGUGCAUCCCUUGUCGGCCAGCUCCGAGUUCAGGAAAUGUUCGGGGUUAAGUUCUCGCAACCGAGUCGCUACUCAUUGAUCCUUUAGCUGCAGCCAUUCAACUUGGGCACUCUCUAUGUGGUACUUGUC
rnacentral:rRNA from 1 species